CAUCCUUAUCAUGUAGUACCGGCGGCACCAGGCUUGGAAGGGGUGACCGGUCCCUUCCGCAUCCUUGUUAUUUCCCCGCUGAGGGGUCUGUCUGAUCAGUGCUGCUCUCAGGCACCUGUCUUUUCUCUCCGUCCCGGAUCAUGGAGCCGAGACAAGGGAAUAAAAGAAAUUAAAUAGUACAAGGAGAUCGGGUGUCUGGGCAGCGUCUUGGAUAAAACCGUCCACUACAGUUCACAGCAAACACAAAGUAUGAAAUGAACAAACAGAAGAGGGCUCCUACUGGCAAGGUUAAAAGUGGUCACAGAAUGUAGUGAGAGUUGGUGAACAUGAAAGAUCUCCAGAGUACGAAUGAGCGUAGACUCGAGCCCAUCUACCUGAGCUUAACCUACACUCUGCCAUUUAUGAACCAAGUAAUCUUGGGCCUAUUACACUUUUGUAAAACAACUCACCAGCAUCCAGAAGUUUCCUUACACGCAAAUAGCUGAUGGUAAGCCUCAUAACAGAAGCCUUAUCAAGAUGCGAGCUCACAUUAUGGGGAAGUGGCAACUGAUGAGCAAGCUCAUAAAAAACUUCGGACUCUUUACUUCUCCGAGAUCUAGCUGCAUCUCUAGACUUUUCUUUUCUACGUUCAGAACUUAUCCUAUUUAACAAAAGAGGAGGAGGAAGAGAGAAAAAGAGAAAAUUUAUAUGUUAGUUUGCCUUUGCUUGGAUAACACUAUAUAUUUUUCUGCUUUUCAUGGAAUAAUUUAAAGAUGCCAUGUAAAUCAAAUUAUACAGAGAUUUGUCUAUUACAUGAAUGUAUAAGUAAGAAUGUAAAAUACAGCUACAAAAAUUUUUGGAUUACUGAAGACAUAAGGAACUCUCACAAGAAGUCCAAGAUGAAGCUUUAAACCUUUCUGAAACAGGUAUUUCCUCCCUGGAAUAUCAAAUUGGUGAGGAUGUUUUUGUUUUAACCAAAAUCUUAAAAGUAGCCCGCAUAUCUAAGGCUAUACCCUCACAGCCAUUCAGAAGUAGUCUCAACAUAAAAAAAAAAAAAA